AGUUGACGACGUGUGUUCAGUGAAAUCGAGUAGGGCGGGACACGUGAUAUCCUGUCUGAAUAUGGGGGGACCAUCCUCCAAGGCUAAAUACUACUGACUGACCGAUAGUGAACCAGUACCGUGAGGGAAAGGCGAAAAGAACCCCUGUGAGGGGAGUGAAAUAGAACCUGAAACCGUGUACGUACAAGCAGUAGGAGCAGGCUUUGUCCUGUGACUGCGUACCUUUUGUAUAAUGGGUCAGCGACUUAUAUUCAGUGGCAAGGUUAACCAUCUAGGGGAGCCGUAGGGAAACCGAGUCUUAACUGGGCGUUCAGUCUCUGGAUAUAGACCCGAAACCAGGUGAUCUAGCCAUGGGCAGGUUGAAGGUUGAGUAACAUCAACUGGAGGACCGAACCGACUAAUGUUGAAAAAUUAGCGGAUGACUUGUGGCUAGGGGUGAAAGGCCAAUCAAACCUGGAGAUAGCUGGUUCUCCCCGAAAGCUAUUUAGGUAGCGCCUCGGACGAAUACUACUGGGGGUAGAGCACUGUUAAGGCUAGGGGGUCAUCCCGACUUACCAACCCUUUGCAAACUCCGAAUACCAGUAAGUACUAUCCGGGAGACACACGGCGGGUGCUAACGUCCGUCGUGGAGAGGGAAACAACCCAGACCGCCAGCUAAGGUCCCAAAUUACUACUAAGUGGGAAACGAUGUGGGAAGGCUCAGACAGCCAGGAUGUUGGCUUAGAAGCAGCCAUCAUUUAAAGAAAGCGUAAUAGCUCACUGGUCGAGUCGGCCUGCGCGGAAGAUGUAACGGGGCUAAGUA
rnacentral:rRNA from 1 species